GGGUCGAUAGCGAAGUUGGUUAUCGCAUCUGUCUUACAUAAUCAUAGUAUUCACAGAAGGUCCUCAGUUCGAGCCUGGGUCGACUCA